AUUGAACGCUGGCGGAAUGCUUUACACAUGCAAGUCGAACGGCAGCACGGACUUCGGUCUGGUGGCGAGUGGCGAACGGGUGAGUAAUGUAUCGGAACGUGCCCAGUCGUGGGGGAUAACGUAGUGAAAAUUACGCUAAUACCGCAUACGACCUAUGGAUGAAAGCGGGGGAUCGCAAGCCCUAGCGCGAUUGGACCGGCCGAUAUCAGAUUAGGUAGGUGGUGGGGUAAAGGCCCACCAAGCCAACGAUCUGUAGCUGGUCUGAGAGGACGACCAGCCACACUGGAACUGAGACACGGUCCAGACUCCUACGGGAGGCAGCAGUGGGGAAUUUUGGACAAUGGGCGAAAGCCUGAUCCAGCCAUUCCGCGUGCAGGAUGAAGGCCCUCGGGUUGUAAACUGCUUUUGUACAGAACGAAAAGGUUUCUACUAAUACUAGGAGCUCAUGACGGUACUGUAAGAAUAAGCACCGGCUAACUACGUGCCAGCCGCCGCGGUAA
rnacentral:rRNA from 1 species